UACGGAGGGGGCGAGCGUUAUUCGGAAUUAUUGGGCGUAAAGGGCGCGUAGGCGGCUGUACAAGUCAAAGGUGAAAUCCCUCGGCUCAACUGAGGAACUGCCUUUGAAACUGUACGCUUGAGGCCGGGAGGGGGUAGCGGAAUUCCCAGUGUAGCGGUGAAAUGCGUAGAUAUUGGGAGGAACACCAGUGGCGAAGGCGGCUACCUGGACCGGUUCUGACGCUGAUGCGCGAAAGCGUGGGUAGCAAACAGG
rnacentral:rRNA from 1 species